GCAGAUGCAAGAUCUUAAUUUGAGACAUUUGGUACAGGGAAAUUAAAUUUGAAUUAUUAUUAUGGAUUAAAAUGAAUGGACAUUUUUGUAGGAGUUGAUACAUUUUAAGGGAAAUUCAGGUUGGACAUUUCAAAGUGAAAUUAAAAAACUUCAGAAGCCUUUUUAAACCUCAAAUACACUUACCCUGCAACCCUCAUUCAUGUGUUGUUGACACUCACUCGGAAGGGGAUUGGCAGAGGCAUAAGGUUACUGAGAGUUUCAUUAGUUAGUUAAACCAGAAGGGGAUUGGCAGAGGCAUAAGGUUACUGAGAGUUUCAUUAGUUAGUUAAACCAGAAGGGGAUUGGCAGAGGCAUAAGGUUACUGAGAGUUUCAUUAGUUAGUUAAACCAGAAGGGGAUUGGCAGAGGCAUAAGGUUACUGAGAGUUUCAUUAGUUAGUUAAACCAGAAGGGGAUUGGCAGAGGCAUAAGGUUACUGAGAGUUUCAUUAGUUAGUUAAACCAGAAGGGGAUUGGCAGAGGCAUAAGGUUACUGAGAGUUUCAUUAGUUAGUUAAACCAGAAGGGGAUUGGCAGAGGCAUAAGGUUACUGAGAGUUUCAUUAGUUAGUUAAACCAGAAGGGGAUUGGCAGAGGCAUAAGGUUACUGAGAGUUUCAUUAGUUAGUUAAACCAGAAGGGGAUUGGCAGAGGCAUAAGGUUACUGAGAGUUUCAUUAGUUAGUUAAACCAGAAGGGGAUUGGCAGAGGCAUAAGGUUACUGAGAGUUUCAUUAGUUAGUUAAACCAGAAGGGGAUUGGCAGAGGCAUAAGGUUACUGAGAGUUUCAUUAGUUAGUUAAACCAGAAGGGGAUUGGCAGAGGCAUAAGGUUACUGAGAGUUUCAUUAGUUAGUUAAACCAGAAGGGGAUUGGCAGAGGCAUAAGGUUACUGAGAGUUUCAUUAGUUAGUUAAACCAGAAGGGGAUUGGCAGAGGCAUAAGGUUACUGAGAGUUUCAUUAGUUAGUUAAACCAGAAGGGGAUUGGCAGAGGCAUAAGGUUACUGAGAGUUUCAUUAGUUAGUUAAACCAGAAGGGGAUUGGCAGAGGCAUAAGGUUACUGAGAGUUUCAUUAGUUAGUUAAACCAGAAGGGGAUUGGCAGAGGCAUAAGGUUACUGAGAGUUUCAUUAGUUAGUUAAACCAGAAGGGGAUUGGCAGAGGCAUAAGGUUACUGAGAGUUUCAUUAGUUAGUUAAGUCUGGACACUGCUAUAGCAAAUUGAAUUCCAGACUGUUUAUUUGACAUUUAGCAAACGUACUUAUCCAGAGCAAAUGGGGUUCAGUGCCUUGCUCAACGGCACAUCAACAGGUUUUUCUCC